GGCGGGGGGAGCGGACCGGAGGCAGGCCCGCCCGGGCCGGGGGCUCUGCGCACACCCUUGGGAGACCGGGCCGCAGCCGCUAGUUGGCCAUACGUAAACUCUCAGCGCAACCGGGGGGCUCCACGCCUCCUCCCCGCCCAGGGAGCAAGUCUAAACGGUGGCCUGUGUUCUGGACCGAAGGGAGGAGGACACUCGAUACCAUCCCCUAGAGAUAUUGCUAGACAUCCUUGUGUGCUGUGGCACGACAAGCCAGGAGGAGCCCAGCUGAGGCCACCUAAGAUGGAGAGUAGAUGGGGGCUUGAUUUUACCAUCUGCAGUCACUGAACCACCUAGAGAAUCCCAGUUUUAUUUGGAGACAGCCAGAAGACAGCCUCCCUGAGAAGGCUAGGUUCUAGCCCAUGAGAUGUAAACAGAAGUGCUGUGUGGAACAUCCAAGUACGCUGCUUAAAAGAAGCUGACUCCAUUAAAAGGCGAAAACCUGAGGCCUCGUGAGGCGCUGUUUGAGGAUUCCUAGAGGCCCUGAGGGAAUUUUUAGACCUGGCUUGCGCGUUAGAGAGAAAAACGUCGGCCUCCGGCGGAAAAUGAAGGCGAGCACUCGGGUCCGAACCUCAGGUCCGAACCAGCGCGGGGGGAAAGCCUCGACCGGACCAGCGGAGAAACCAGUGGGGCGGGGUGGGGCGGGGUGGGGCGGGGCGGGGCCAAGAUGGCGGAGGAGGCGGGUCUUCAGGAGGUGGGGCUGGAGGAAAUGGGCCGGGGCGGGGCCUGGUAGGCUACCGAGGGCAAGGAGGCGAAACCACGGGGGCCUCCAGCCUGUGGAGGCGGGGCUGGAGGCGUGUC